UGGGGAAUAUUGCACAAUGGGCGCAAGCCUGAUGCAGCAACGCCGCGUGAGGGACGACGGCCUUCGGGUUGUAAACCUCUUUUGGCAGGGAAGAAGCGAAAGUGACGGUACCUGCAGAAAAAGCACCGGCUAACUACGUGCCAGCAGCCGCGGUGAUACGUAGGGUGAAAGCGUUGUCCGGAAUUAUUGGGCGAAAAGAGCUCGUAGGCGGUUUGUCGCGUCUGCUGUGAAAACCCGAGGCUCAACCUCGGGCCUGCAGUGGGUACGGGCAAACUAGAGUGCGGUAGGGGAGAUUGGAAUUCCUGGUGUAGCGGUGGAAUGCGCAGAUUUCAGGAGGCACACCGAUGGCGAAGGCAGAUCUCUGGGCCGUAACUGACGCUGAGGAGCGAAAGCAUGGGGA
rnacentral:rRNA from 1 species